rnacentral:rRNA from 1 species
GUCUUUUUGAAUUGAAUCUAAAGUCUAACCUGCCCACUGAUAUUUAAAUGGCCGCAGUAUACUAACUGUGCAAAGGUAGCAUAAUAAUUAGUCUUUUAAUUGAAGGCUGGAAUGAAUGGUUGGACGUAAUAUUAACUGUUUCAAAAUAAAUUAUUUUAGAACUUUAUUUUUUAGUCAAAAAGCUAAAAUAUAUUUAAAAGACGAGAAGACCCUAUAAAGCUUUAUAAUUUAAUUUAUAAGAUUUUAUUAGAUUCUUUACAAUUUUAUUAAUUAAAUUAUUUUAUUGGGGUGAUAUUAAAAUUUAAUAAACUUUUAAUUUUUAAGUUCAUUAAUGUAUGAAUUAUAGAUCCACUGUAGUGAUUAAAAAAUUAAGUUACUUUAGGGAUAACAGCGUAAUUUUUUUGGAGAGUUCAUAUCGAUAAAAAAGAUUGCGACCUCGAUGUUGGAUUAAGGAAUAAUUUUAG